rnacentral:rRNA from 1 species
UGGGGAAUAUUGCGCAAUGGGGGAAACCCUGACGCAGCGACGCCGCGUGCGGGAUGAAGGCCUUCGGGUUGUAAACCGCUUUUGAUUGGGAGCAAGCUUUCGGGUGAGUGUACCUUUCGAAUAAGCGCCGGCUAACUACGUGCCAGCAGCCGCGGUAAUACGUAGGGCGCAAGCGUUAUCCGGAAUUAUUGGGCGUAAAGCGAGCGCAGGCGGUCAAUUAAGUCUGAUGUGAAAGCCCCCGGCUCAACCGGGGAGGGUCAUUGGAAACUGGUUGACUUGAGUGCAGAAGAGGAGAGUGGAAUUCCAUGUGUAGCGGUGAAAUGCGUAGAUAUAUGGAGGAACACCGGUGGCGAAAGCGGCUCUCUGGUCUGUAACUGACGCUGAGGCUCGAAAGCGUGGGGAGCGAACAGG